rnacentral:rRNA from 1 species
GAGUUUGAUCCUGGCUCAGGAUGAACGCUGGCGGCGUGCCUAAUACAUGCAAGUCGAGCGGUAAGGCCCUUCGGGGUACACGAGCGGCGGACGGCUGAGUAACACGUAGGAACGUACCCCAAACUGAGGGAUAAGCACCAGAAAUGGUGUCUAAUACCGCAUGUGCUCUAAGGAGUAAAGCUUCGGCGGUUUGGGAACGGCCUGCGCACGAUUAGAUUGUUGGUGAGGUAAUGGCUCACCAAGUCGACGAUCGUUAGUUGGUCUGAGAGGAUGAUCAACCAGACUGGGACUGAGAACGGCCCAGACUCCUACGGGAGGCAGCAGUAGGGAAUUUUCCACAAUGGGCGAAAGCCUGAUGGAGCAACGCCGCGUGCAGGAUGAAGGCUUUAGGGUUGUAAACUGCUUUUAUAUGUGACGAAUAUGACGGUAGCAUAUGAAUAAGGAUCGGCUAACUCCGUGCCAGCAGCCGCGGUCAUACGGAGGAUCCAAGCGUUAUCCGGAAUUACUGGGCGUAAAGAGUUGCGUAGGUGGCAGAGUAUGUCUGUAGUGAAAGCGUGUGGCUCAACCAUAUACACAUUACA